CAUGCCAUAUUUGGAUAAGUUUUUCAUUUGAUUUGAAUCCUUAUUAGAUAGGGAUUCAACUUAUCCAAAUCACGUUUAAACCUAACUCCUUGGAUGCCAACAAUAAAAGGAAUUCUCCUUUGUGCAUUGAAUAAGAUUUUUACCAUGGGAGAACAUAUUUAAAAUGUGAAAAAUCUCUAGGAAGAGGUGCAUGGGUUCUUAGUGCAUGA
rnacentral:lncRNA from 1 species